rnacentral:tRNA from 1 species
AGUGGUAGAGCUCAGUGGUAGAGCGCAGGCUCAGCAUGCACGAAGUCCUGGGUUCAAUCCCCAGUACCUCCC